GGGCACUUAGCUCAGCGGCAGAGCACUGUCUUCACAUGACAGGGGUCACAGGUUCGAAUCCUGUAGUGCCCA
rnacentral:tRNA from 1 species